rnacentral:tRNA from 1 species
GGUUGAGUACUUUAUAUUAAAAAACCUAACUUGCACUUAGGAAUAGGGUAUUACGCCCCGCAACCCA